rnacentral:lncRNA from 1 species
CAAGAAUGUCUGACCUCAACUUUUGGUCAGCCAAUUAUAGCUGUUGACACAGUCUAACAGUCUAAUUUUCCCUUAGAUAAUAGACUGAAAAGGAUCAACUCACUAAUCAGCCCCUAAUCAUCAAACAAACCACAUGAUUAGCUCAAUGAGAUUUUAAUUUGAUAACAGCAUUAAAAAGUAAGAAGACCUAACUCCAACCAAGAAGCUCAC